rnacentral:rRNA from 1 species
CCAGACUCCUACGGGAGGCAGCAGUUAGGAAUAUUCGUCAAUGGGGGAAACCCUGAACGAGCAAUGCCGCGUGAACGAUGACGGUCCUCUGGAUUGUAAAGUUCUGUUGUUUGGGAAGAACGGCUCUAAUAGGAAAUGAUUAGAGAUUGACUGUACCAUUCAAGAAAGCCACGGCUAACUACGUGCCAGCAGCCGCGGUAAUACGUAGGUGGCGAGCGUUAUCCGGAUUUAUUGGGUUUAAAGGGUGCGUAGGCGGGCAUUUAAGCCGGCGGUCAAAUGUCGGGGCUCAACCCCGGCCUGCCGUUGAAACUGGCGGCCUCGAGUGGGCGAGAAGUAUGCGGAAUGCGUGGUGUAGCGGUGAAAUGCAUAGAUAUCACGCAGAACUCCGAUUGCGAAGGCAGCAUACCGGCGCCCGACUGACGCUGAGGCACGAAAGCGUGGGUAUCGAACAGGAUUAGAUACCCUGGUA